rnacentral:rRNA from 1 species
GAUGAACGCUGGCGGCGUGCCUAAUACAUGCAAGUCGAGCGAACAGACGAGGAGCUUGCUCCUCUGACGUUAGCGGCGGACGGGUGAGUAACACGUGGAUAACCUACCUAUAAGACUGGGAUAACUUCGGGAAACCGGAGCUAAUACCGGAUAAUAUAUUGAACCGCAUGGUUCAAUAGUGAAAGACGGUUUUGCUGUCACUUAUAGCUGGAUCCGCGCCGCAUUAGCUAGUUGGUAAGGUAACGGCUUACCAAGGCAACGAUGCGUAGCCGACCUGAGAGGGUGAUCGGCCACACUGGAACUGAGACACGGUCCAGACUCCUACGGGAGGCAGCAGUAGGGAAUCUUGCGCAAUGGGCGAAAGCUUGACGGAGCAACGCCGCGUGAGUGAUGAAGGUCUUCGGAUCGUAAAACUCUGUUAUUAGGGAAGAACAAAUGUGUAAGUAACUAUGCACGUCUUGACGGUACCUAAUCAGAAAGCCACGGCUAACUUCGUG